rnacentral:rRNA from 1 species
UACGGAGGGUGCAAGCGUUGUUCGGAAUUAUUGGGCGUAAAGCGCGUGCAGGCGGUCGGAUAAGUCAGAUGUGAAAGCCUUCCGCUUAACGGAAGAAGUGCAUUUGAAACUAUUCGGCUAGAGUACGGGAGAGGAGAGUGGAAUUCCCGGUGUAGAGGUGAAAUUCGUAGAUAUCGGGAGGAACACCAGUGGCGAAGGCGGCUCUCUGGUCCGAUACUGACGCUGAGACGCGAAAGCGUGGGGAGCAAACAGG